rnacentral:rRNA from 1 species
UACGAAGGGGGCUAGCGUUGCUCGGAAUCACUGGGCGUAAAGCGCACGUAGGCGGACUCUUAAGUCGGUGGUGAAAUCCUGGAGCUCAACUCCAGAACUGCCUCCGACACUGGGAGCCUUCGAGUCCGGGAGAGGUGAGUGGAACUGCGAGUGUAGAGGUGAAAUUCGUAGAUAUUCGCAAGAACACCAGUGGCGAAGGCGGCUCACUGGCCCGGUACUGACGCUGAGGUGCGAAAGCGUGGGGAGCAAACAGG